GAAAGCUUGGCGCAAUGGUAGCGCGUUCGACUCCAGAUAUAAAGGAUGCGCGUUCGAUCCGCUCAGUGGUCA
rfam:Angiostrongylus costaricensis strain Costa Rica genome assembly, scaffold: ACOC_scaffold0001653